GACUGACGCUCAUGCACGAAAGCGUGGGUAUCGAACAGGAUUAGAUACCCUGGUAGUCCACGCGGUAAACGAUGAUAACUAGUUAUUCGGCGCGACUGAGCGCUGAGUGACCGAGCGAAAGCGUUAAGUUAUCCACCUGGGGAGUACGCCGGCAACGGUGAAACUCAAAGGAAUUGACGGGGGCCCGCACAAGCGGAGGAACAUGUGGUUUAAUUCGAUGAUACGCGAGGAACCUUACCCGGGCUCAAACGCAGCGCGACAGACCCUGAAAGGGGUUUUUCUUCGGACGCGCUGCGAGGUGCUGCAUGGUUGUCGUCAGCUCGUGCCGUGAGGUGUCGGCUUAAGUGCCAUAACGAGCGCAACCCCCAUCUUCAGUCGCCCCCGGGUAAAGCCGGGCACUCUGGAGAGACUGCCGGCGCAAGCUGUGAGGAAGGCGGGGAUGACGUCAAAUCAGCACGGCCCUUACGUCCGGGGCGACACACGUGUUACAAUGGCGGGGCAACAGAGGGAAGCCAGGCGGCGACGCCGAGCGGAUCCCGAAAACCCGUCUCAGUUCGGAUCGGAGUCUGCAACCCGACUCCGUGAAGCUGGAUUCGCUAGU
rnacentral:rRNA from 1 species